rnacentral:rRNA from 1 species
CUGAGGUGGCGACCGGCGCACGGGUGAGUAACACGAUGCAACCUGCCUGUAAGCGGGGAAGUAACCCGUUGAAAGACGGACUAAUACCGCAUAAUACUAAAUUACUGCAUGGUAAUUUAUUUAAACAUUUAUGGCUUACAGAUGGGCAUGCGCAUGAUUAGCUAGUUGGAGAGGUAACGGCUCCCCAAGGCAACGAUCAUUAGGGGUUCUGAGAGGAAGGUCCCCCCACACUGGUACUGAGACACGGACCAGACUCCUACGGGAGGCAGCAGUGAGGAAUAUUGGUCAAUGGACGAGAGUCUGAACCAGCCAAGUCGCGUGCAGGAAGAAUUGUCCUAUGGAUUGUAAACUGCUUUUGCAGGGGAAUAAAGUGCAUCACGUGUGAUGUUUUGUAUGUACUCUGCGAAUAAGGAUCGGCUAACUCCGUGCCAGCCGCGGC